rnacentral:rRNA from 1 species
CUCCGCGGUUAUACGAGCGACCCAAGCUGAUAGUCAUCGGCGUAAAGAGUGGUUAAGGGAUAACAUAAACUAAAGCCGAACGCCCUCAAGGCUGUUAUACGCACCCGAGAGUACGAAGCCCCAUUACGAAAAUGACUUUAAACCCCACCUGAUCCCACGAAAGCUACGCAA